GUGGGGCAGCGGCCGGAUCUCAGCCCUGAAUAGUCACCGAGUUCUGCUCUGCGCGGUGUUUUCUCCUGGUCCUUAUCAGAUGCCAUUGGUCUCGCUGCAACAUUUGGGGCACCGAAGCCAACUUGACCUGCCUGAUGCAAACAUCUGGAUUCCAGGGGAACUACCAGGGCCAGUGGCUGAAGGCACAAGCAUCGAAUCACCAGCUCUUCAGACUCCAGAUCAUCUGAUGCAACCAAGUUCAUUGAGGAAAGUUUGGCUUUCUUGAGAUGCCCUUUGAUGCCACGUAUCUGGGGAGCUGGCACUAGGGAGCAGAUGUGAGAAGAGUGGUCCCUGGAGGAGUGAAGCAACCGGUCCACGUUCAGACAAUGAGCUGGAGGCGGGGUGAUUUCUUUCUCAAGGCUCCUCUUCCCAGUGCAACCAACCACCAGGGGAAAAGGCAAAAAUGAGAGGUAGAAUGACCUUUCAUGGGGAUUCCUCUUCUGGGGAAAUGGAAUGGGGUUUACUUCUUGAAUUUUCAGGGCACACUUUGUAAUGUAGUAUAACCAUGAGGAUUUCUCAGUUUACAUCACAGAUAAAUGAAUAAUAAUACUGAGAUGGUAGUGAAAACAUAUUUACUAAUAAACAUAUUUAAUUGAAACUGAUUUGCAUGCUUUAACUAACAAUUUUUACUUAUUUUUCAUGCAG
rnacentral:lncRNA from 1 species